GUUCAUUGUUCAUUCUCAUGUUUGAAUGGGAAAAAUAAAUAAAAGAAAACACAGAAUACCGAAUUCAUAGUCAAAUAGGUGAUUUGAACUGACAUGUUUUAUCUAUAAGGGAAUGUUUCUUAUAGAACCAUCUCAAUCUUCUCAUUGUUCAAUUGAUGUUACAAAGCCAAAUAAUGACAAACUGAAUGGUUUUAUUUUUUGCCACAAAUUACGAUAUCUUAACAUGGAAAAUCCUUCAAAACUUGAAAACCCAAAUAAGCAUGCAUUUUUCAAGAACUAGCUAUUAUGCCAAACAUGAAAAACGUAUAUCCAAACUGAAAACAUAUAUGUACACUUUUCAAAACACACAGUUUAUCAUUCCUUGGCUUGAUCUGAAAUUACAAUGCUUUGAAAACUAGUAACUGCCCGUGAUUAGUGACUUCAACAAAACAGAGCGUAAAACUGCAAUUUCCAAAUCUAC